rnacentral:rRNA from 1 species
GAUGAACGCUGGCGGCGUGCCUAACACAUGCAAGUCGAGCGGCAGCGAGGGGUGCUUGCACCCUGUCGGCGAGCGGCGGACGGCUGAGUAACGCGUGGGAACGUGCCCCAAAGUGAGGAAUAACUGCCCGAAAGGGUAGCUAAUACCGCAUAUUAUCUUCGGAUCAAAGGAUUUAUCCGCUUUGGGAGCGGCUCGCGUCGGAUUAGGUAGUUGGUGAGGUAAUGGCUCACCAAGCCGACGAUCCGUAGCUGGUCUGAGAGGAUGACCAGCCAGACUGGAACUGAGACACGGUCCAGACUCCUACGGGAGGCAGCAGUGAGGAAUCUUCCACAAUGGGCGAAAGCCUGAUGGAGCAACGCCGCGUGCAGGACGAAGGCCUUCGGGUUGUAAACUGCUUUUAUAAGUGAGGAAUAUGACGGUAACUUAUGAAUAAGGAGCGGCUAACUACGUG